CUUUAAAAUCCAAGAGUACUGUCACAAAAAAUGGAAAAUGGCCCUAGCCUGCAGUUCAGUGGUACACAAUCAAGAUUUCAAAAAAUAUUGUAGUUGUUGUGAAAUGACAGAAUUCAGUUGAGUUUUAGAUAAUUAGCUAUCAACUUUAAUCAAAUGUUUAGAUUUAGAAGAUGCAGAUCACUUCCAUUGGUCCAAAUUGAAUCCUAAACUAAGGAAAUGAAAUUACAUAAACAACAAUUGAUUUCAAUAUUGUCAACCUUUCUACAUGUUCUAGCGGUUCUCUUUUUCAUUCUUCAUAUGUAAACUAUCAAAAGAUACCCCCCCCCCCUUUUCCAAAAACAUAAUAAAAUAGAAACAAGGGCCGUCUUUCCCCUCAGAGCUAUUCAGCUCUUUGAUUUAAUCU
rnacentral:lncRNA from 1 species